GUGAAACAGUAGAGGACAUACAUAGGUACAAUAGUAAGUGUUAUACAUAUGUGAAACAGUAGAGGACAUACAUAGGUAAAAUAGUAAGUGUUAUACAUAUGUGAAAUAGCGGAGGUCAUGCAUAGGUUAAAUAGUAAGUGUUUUUAUACAUAUGUGAAAUAGCGGAGGACAUACAUAGGUUAAAUAGUAAGUGUUUUUAUACAUAUGUGAAAUAGCGGAGGACAUACAUAGGUUAAAUAGUAAGUGUUUUUAUACAUAUGUGAAAUAGCGGAGGACAUACAUAGGUUAAAUAGUAAGUGUUUUUAUACAUAUGUGAAAUAGCGGAGGACAUACAUAGGUACAAUAGUAAGUGUUAUACAUAUGUGAAAUAGCGGAGGUCAUGCAUAGGUUAAAUAGUAAGUGUUUUUAUACAUAUGUGAAAUAGUGGAGGACAUACAUA